rnacentral:tRNA from 1 species
GCCGAAGUGGCGAAAUUGGUAGACGCGCACGUUUCAGGGGCGUGUGUCGCAAGACAUGCCGGUUCGAGUCCGGCCUUCGGCACGA